UACGAACUGUGCGAACGUUAUUCGGAAUCACUGGGCUUACAGGGUGCGUAGGCGGCUAUUCAGGUCAGGUGUGAAAGCCCCCGGCUCAACCGGGGGAACUGCGCUUGAAACCGAAUGGCUCGAGUCAACUAGAGGUGCACGGAACUUCCAGUGGAGCGGUGAAAUGUGUUGAUAUUGGAAGGAACACCGGAGGCGAAAGCGGUGCACUGGGGGUUGGUCUGACGCUGAGGCACGAAAGCCAGGGGAGCGAACGGG
rnacentral:rRNA from 1 species